GCUGGGCACGGUGACUCAUGCCUGUAAUCCCAGGCAUGGGAUUACGGGAGGCUGAGACAGGAGAAUCUCGAGUUGAAAGCCAGCCUCGGCAAAAUCGAGGCACUAAGCAACUCAGUGAGACCCUGUCUCUA
rnacentral:sRNA from 1 species